rnacentral:rRNA from 1 species
AACGAACGCUGGCGGCAGGCUUAACACAUGCAAGUCGAACGCCCCGCAAGGGGAGUGGCAGACGGGUGAGUAACGCGUGGGAAUCUACCGUGCCCUGCGGAAUAGCUCCGGGAAACUGGAAUUAAUACCGCAUACGCCCUACGGGGGAAAGAUUUAUCGGGGUAUGAUGAGCCCGCGUUGGAUUAGCUAGGUGGUGGGGUAAAGGCCUACCAAGGCGACGACCCAUAGCUGGUCUGAGAGGAUGAUCAGCCACAUUGGGACUGAGAAACGGCCCAAACUCCUACGGGAGGCAGCAGUGGGGAAUAUUGGACAAUGGGCGCAAGCCUGAUCCAGCCAUGCCGCGUGAGUGAUGAAGGCCUUAGGGUUGUAAAGCUCUUUCACCGAUGAAGAUAAUGACGGUAGUCGGAGAAGAAGCCCCGGCUAACUUCGUGCCAGCAGCCGCCGUAA